rnacentral:piRNA from 1 species
UCAGUUCGAGAAUCAAGAAUGUCAGUUUA